CGGCACGGGUGAGUAACACGUAUCCAACCUGCCGUCUACUCUUGGACAGCCUUCUGAAAGGAAGAUUAAUACAAGAUGGCAUCAUGAGUCCGCAUGUUCACAUGAUUAACGGUAUUCCAGUAGACGAUGGGGAUGCGUUCCAUUAGAUAGUAGGCGGGGUAACGGCCCACCUAGUCUUCGAUGGGUAGGGGUUCUGAGAGGAAGGUCCCCCACAUUGGAACUGAGACACGGUCCAA
rnacentral:rRNA from 1 species